ensembl:lncRNA
GGAUAGUGUUCGCCUUGGGCCUUGGAAUCACAGCAACAUCUUGUUUAUUUAUUUUUUACUAUAAUCUAUCCCACAUAAUAAAAGUAAUAAUAAAAGCAUAAUUUUAAGCUGAAUCACUAUACUGCGUUGAUGAACUUUAGGAAUAGUUUGUCCUCGUUAAGUGGAAUCGUGAUAGCCUACCUCAGCUGCUGAUUAAACGUGGAUGUGAAUCGUGUCUUGUGUGAACGAUGAAGAUGAGUGUCUCCCAUUUGGCUACUCAAGUUGUAUGUGUCAUAUCAACUUCUAAAAAGCCCCUCGUGUUUGAAGGUUACUUUGUGCAUCUCCAGGGGCUGUCAGCCAUGGGUCCACUGCAAAAUUUACAGCUCUAAAUCAAAGCAUAUGCCGCCAAUAAGGAAGAAACUCUGAAAACAGGGUGUAUGAUAGUAUCUGGGUGCCCCCUAGCGUAUGGAUAAUUUCUACCUCAAAAUACUCUCUUUAACGUGCAGGAGCCAUCUUAAAUAGAAAACGGGGUCUCCGGCUGUUCGUCUCUCGCUAACGCCAAAAGCGACGUGCGCUCAUUUUUAAUCUGAUUAUAGCUUUUGAGACUCGUUUCUAAUUGAAACGGACAUGGCACAGCUAUGGGUGUGCGUACACAUUUUUUAUUCGUGCAUGUUGCAGAAGAAGCGGAAUGUUCUUUGCGUAUUUUGCAGUCAGAUGUUUUUAAAAAGUGAGCUCUGUACUCUGCGAGCCAGAAGUCUUACGCAAAACGGACACGUAGGAAAAAACAACGAUACGUUUUGGAAUUUACUGAAAGCCAUUUUUGACUGCGGUGCUGAUGUCAGCAUUCAACUAUGAACUCACCUCAAAGUGAAUGUUCAUUGCUUUGACCUUUUGAUUGUGACAGUGGAGUCUGAGUCCUGAGGUGAGGAAUCCAAAUGACCACCGUUUUUCAAAUGGAAGAGAGUGGGGCUCUUGUCUUCCUAGAUGGCAGGGAGAUUUGUAAGAAGAUGCAUCAACUCCAAUUCUUACAUCUGUUUUGAAUGAUUUUAAUAAAUGUCACCUGAAUUUCAUGCAAUUGCUUGUGUACUUUGUGAGCAUUUUAGUCGAAUUUUAGCAUGCAACCAAACUGCAUUUUAUGAUAAUUAUAGGGAAAAAGUAUAAACAACACAUCUGUGUUAUUUUUUAACACAUCUUUGUGUGGAAAUGUUUAACAUACAGCAUGUGUUAAAUGUACUAACUGUAAAAAUCACUGUACACAGUGAUUGUGUUAAAAGAAACACAAAAUGUGUUGUCCUUAACUAGACACGCAGGUGUGUUAAAAAUUAACAUGAUUCGUGAAGGUUGGUAUCAAUAUAUUUAUCCAUAAAACCAUUACUGUACACUAGAAAAAUCAAAAAUGUGCAAAAACAGAUUAGUGUGCAUGUCACUAAAUGCACCGCUAUCUUUGUUAGCUUUGGCUUACUUUUUUUUAUAAUGCCCACUGGAUCGUAAGUUGGUUACUCAGUUUUUUGAUGUUUUAAACAUUUCCUUUGAUCAAAAUCUGACGUUUUCGUCUUAAAUAUAUGACUUAUUGAGUCAUUUACUUCAAAGUCUAUAUAUAAACACCACUUUAACAGCUCUACCAAUACAUUUCUGAACACAUUCUUGUGUAUAAACAAAGGAGAUACCAUACUGACAUAUUUAUUUAUAAUGUGACAUUUUCAGAGGGUAAAAAUAACUCCCAAAAUAUUAACCGAUUUAUGAAAUAAAUUUAACCCAGAGGUUUUGUAAAAAUGAAAUUAUCCUUCAGAUUGAAAAACAACCCAUUUUCUGGGUUAAAAUGAAUAACCCAACUUGAUGGGUUAGUUUACACAACACAAGUGUGGGCACAACAGAGUGAGGCAGCCUCACAAACUUUAAAAGAGAUUUAAUGAGUUUUGCAUUGUUGUGGUAUUUGUAAAAUGGCCAAGGAGGCUCAGCAACUCUAAAGACACUUGUGUAUUGUCCACAGUAAAACACACAUUGUCAAAUAAGAUUUGGGAUCAAUUACCCAGACAAAUGCCAAUGUUUAUUUGGGUCUCCAGUGAAGAGAGUCAGACCAUGGUGAAGCUGCAGGGCUUCAGUCAAGAUGUUUGCUUUGGCACAGAUACUCCAGGCUUAUUAUGUAACAAGUGUGACACACCAAAGAUAUGUAUACAAUUGGGUAAUGUUUAUUAUGUUCAAUAUAUAUAAAAAUAUCCCAAAAGAAAAUAUGAUGCUUUAUUGCUGUGUUAUUUCUUGUGGACAGUUGACUGCAUUGAAACUGCAGUUUUUCAUUGAAUGAGAAUAAGACUCAGAUUUUGAAAGUGGACUGUGGCUUUGAAAGUGGAGUUUGGGAGAUCGAGGGUGAAAAUAGCGAUGCCUGCAUGCUUCAUAAUUACUGAAGAUUAGAUUGCAGUGCAGACCUGUUUCUCCGGUCUCUUCAUUCUAUCCUGUUUUAACAGGUUUACUCUUAUCUGUCAGCCUGGCCUCAUGAAAGGGGCGUGCAACAGAUUUGUGGGGGCUCGUCCGGGACCAGCUCCUAAUACUCCUUGGAACCAAUGGAGUGUUAUGCUGAUGCUGUAAUCCUGAAAACAAGCGGAUGUCAGUGAGGAAAGUGGCAAGGCUUGGCUGGUGACUGCAAGAACGAUGUGAGGGCUUGCAGAAAAGCUAUUCAUCAUGGCUAAUCAUGUAUGCAAGACCCUGGUGUGGAACAUCAGGAAGAGUCUACUCAACCUGUCCACUGACAAAAGCACUGAUCCAGUACCAGGAAAGGACUCCUCCAAACUUGAUGCUGGAGAUCAAGAGGGCUGUCUUGAAUACAUCAAUGCUUUCAUGUACAGUAUUCACUUAUUAGAGGCAGAGGACAGAGGUAUGAACUGAACUGUUGGUUUUGCAAGAAACUCUAAAUACUGUUGAAGAAAACCAUUGUGCCGUAUCACCUGGUUAUAGAUGUAAUGAUGUUGAGAGCAAUGUUGAUAUUGAUGUAUACACUACACCAAUCUUGCAUACAUACACUUCUACAAAGCACCACCUGUAAU